ACAGUGAAGACGUUGAGGAGGGCUCCGACGGUGAAGAGGAUAGCUCUGACAGUGAGAAUACUACGAAACGUAUCCUUGUCAGGAACAAAGAUGAACCUUACAGCUAUGAUGACCCUGACUAUGAGGGCAACCAGAGGGAUGUCUAUAUUAAUUACAGACGACAGUAUGAGGAAAGCGAUGGUUUUGAUUUUGAUGACUAUCCAAAGUCAGGUGACGGAGAAUUUUUUCUGGGUGUUGCUUUUCAUGUGGAUCUUGAAGAUGAUGAUGACGAAUUUACUAUAGGCUGCAAAGAGGCCCUUGCCUAUGCUAUCGAGGAACAGAAUAAAAAGGGUGCAAAUCUGAGACUCCUUGAUAUUAUCAAGGCAAAUGCCCAAUCAGUUGCUUUGUAUCACAUAACUUUCAGAGCUGAAGAUGUUUCUCUUGGAGAAGUGAAAGUUUAUCAAACUAAAGUCUUCCAUAGUUUAGUUCCUGGUCACAAGGAGACUGUAGUACGUAUUUUCAGGCUAAAAGAACCAACAAACAAAGGUAAUUGAUUUAUGUUAAUAGUUAGCUUAGUUUUUUUUAUUUUCUGUUGUCU